UAACAAGGAUUCCCCUAGUAACGGCGAGUGAAGCGGGAAGAGCUCAAAUUUAAAAUCUGGCGGCCUUCGGUCGUCCGAGUUGUAGCCUAGAGAAGCGUUUUCCGCGGCGGACCAUGUACAAGUCCCUUGGAACAGGGCGUCAUAGAGGGUGAGAAUCCCGUCCUUGACAUGGACCCCCGUCGCUCUGCGAUGCGCUCUCGAAGAGUCGAGUUGUUUGGGAAUGCAGCUCAAAAUGGGUGGUAAAUUCCAUCUAAAGCUAAAUAUUGGCGAGAGACCGAUAGCGAACAAGUACCGUGAGGGAAAGAUGAAAAGCACUUUGGAAAGAGAGUCAAACAGUACGUGAAAUUGUUAAAAGGGAAACGAUCAAAGUCAGUCGCGUCUGCCGGGACUCAGCCUUGCCUUCGCGCUCGGCGCAUUUCCCGGUCUGACGGGCCAGCGUCGAUUUUGACCGGCGGAAAAGGGUCGGAGGAACGUGGCUCCUCACGGAGUGUUAUAGCCUUCGGCCGCAAACGUCGGUUGGGAUCGAGCCCUCCCGCACGGCACGCCUCUGGCGGUGCCCGCGCUGGCGUAAUGGCUUUGACCGAC
rnacentral:rRNA from 1 species